GACCUGAGCUCAGGCAAGAACACCCGCUGAACUUAAGCAUAUCAAUAAGCGGAGGAAAAGAAAGAAACAUCGAUUGUCAGAGUAACGGCGAGUGAAACGACAAUAGUCCAACUUGAAAAUCUCCCUUUGGAGAAUUGUAGUCUAUAGAAGCGCCCUCUGUGGCGGUCGGAUCCCAAGUUCACUGGAAAGUGGCGUCAGAGAGGGUGAGAACCCCGUCGGAUCUAGACUUAGCUGCUCCACGAGGUGCUUUCCAAGAGUCGGGUUGUUUGGGAAUGCAGCCCAAAAUGGGAGGUAAAUCCCUCCUAAGACUAAAUACCGGCGAGAGACCGAUAGCGAACAAGUACCGUGAGGGAAAGAUGAAAAGAACUUUGAAAAGAGAGUUAAAAAGUGCUUGAAAUUGUUGAGAGGGAAGCGAUUGGAGGCUGUGGGUGCGCCCAGGCUUAUGCGUAUCUAACGAUGCGCUGUAUGUGCUGGGUGCUGGUCAGGAUGGGUUAGUUGGGCGGGAUAACAGCGAGGGUUGAUACCUUGUCUAUGCCGCCUGGCUGAUCAAGGUGUGAAUGGCGCUCUGUCCUUCGGGAACUGCGUCAUCAAGAUCCUGGCAGAAGGCCUUCAAUCGGCCCGUCUUGGAACACGGACCAAGGAGUCUAACAUGUAUGCGAGUUGGUGGGUGGAAAACCCAUGAAGCGUAAGUAACCUAACUGGUGUGAUGGCCUGUGCCUGCAACAUCGACCGACCAUGAUCUUCUGUGAAAGGUUUGAGUGCGAGCAUACCUGUUGGGACCCGAAAGAUGGUGAACUAUGCGUGAAUAGGGUGAAGCCAGAGGAAACUCUGGUGGAAGCUCGUAGAUGUGCUGACGUGCAAAUCGCUUUUCGGACUUGGGUAUAGGGGCGAAAGACUAAUCGAACCAUCUAGUAGCUGGUUUCCUCCGAAGUUUCCCCCAGGAUAGCUGGAGCUCAUAUGUGUUACGUCAGGUAAAGCGAAUGAUUAGACGCAGGGGGAUGAAACAUCCUUCACGUAUUCUCAAACUUUAAAUAGGCGUGAAGCGUGGGAUGCUUAAUUGAUCCCACGCAAUUAAACUGAGCUCCAAGUGGGCCAUUUUUGGUAAGCAGAACUGGCGAUGCGGGAUGAACCGAUAGCUAAGUUAAGGCGCCCAACUGCACGCUAACCUAGAUCCCACAAAGGGUGUUGAUUGAUAUAGACAGCAGGACGGUGGUCAUGGAAGUCGAAAUCCGCUAAGGAGUGUGUAACAACUCACCUGCCGAAUCAAUUAGCCCCGAAAAUGGAUGGCGCUGAAGCGUGCGGCCUAUACUUAGCCAUUGAAGCAAGUGCGAAGCUUCAAUGAGUAGGAGGACGUGGGUGUCGUUGCGCAGCCUGAGGCGUGAGCCUGGGUGAAACGGCAUCUAGUGCAGAUCUUGGUGGUAGUAGCAAAUACUCAAAUGAGAACUUUGAGGACUGAAGUGGGGAAAGGUUCCAUGUGAACAGCAGUUGGACAUGGGUUAGUCGAUCCUAAGAGAUGGGGUAAUCCUGUGUAAAGAGCGCGAUUCGCGCUGCCCAUCGAAAGGGAAAAGGGUUAAGAUUCCCUUACCUGGACAAGGCGGCUGACGGUAACGUAAGCGAGCCCCGAGACGCCGGGACUGGCCCUGGGAAGAGUUCUCUUUUCUUUUUAACUGCUCGAAGGCCCUGGAAUCGAAUCAUUCGGAGAUAGGGCUCAGUAGCAGGUAAAGCACCGCACUUCUUGCGGUGUCCGGCGCGCCAGUCACGGUCCGUGAAAAUCGGGGGGAGCGGCUACCGAUCUUGCCAGGUCGUACUCAUAACCGCAUCAGGUCUCCAAGGUGAACAGCCUCUAGUUGAUAGAACAAUGUAGAUAAGGGA
rnacentral:rRNA from 1 species